rnacentral:lncRNA from 1 species
AUGUCUGAGACUAUAGGUGUGUUAAUUCCCCUCCGUCUAAGUGUUCCUGACUGCUCCGUGCCUUGCCCCGAGCGGAAAGAUAAAGAAGAGAUCCUUCCAUUUGUAUCAGACAUGGCUUCCUUCCUGGGUUGCCUUUCUUUGUGGCGUAGCACGGCGCUGGCAGAGCUCCUCACGUGGCACAGGAGCCGUGCUGACUCACGCGCUCACACGGGAAAUCCCAGCAUGCUUUCUGGCUGCUUCUCAUUCAAACGAUUCUUCCCAGCCUUCUGCUUUUGGGAAGGGAGCCUCAGUCUGCACCUCACACCCCGGCACUCUGCUGCUGUAAUUCAGCACAAAGAUAGCACAGAAUGGCCUCAGCUGAGAAUAUCUUUAGCACAGUUAAGAACGUGUCAGUCUCCAGCCAGAAGCACAGAAGCAGCACACAUCUUUAGAUGAUACAAGCCAACCUGCUGCCUGGAGCUGGUGGGAUCUGCCUUCAUAUUUGUCAUCUCUUCACAUCAUCGUGUCUCCAUACAGCCGACUGAUGAAGAAACUUUUCUGACUUCUGAUCAUCCCUUCAUACGUUUCUGUCCUUUCCAGUUCUUCCAUCUCCUUUUUGAGUUGAAGACAUAGAGGUCAAAUAUUGCUCAGAGGCACUAAAAGAGGCAUAUGAAGGAAGAGGCAUUGGUGGAUGUGUUUGGAUAUGCUUAAUGAGGAACAGAGAACAGGCUAGUUGCUAAUUGUUUAUCCAAUGCUGUCACCAGCUGUCUGGAGUCUUCCCAGUGAUGUAGGUGAAAAUGGUGACCUGCACAAGGCCUUCACUACUUCGCAGUCACCUUCUCCUUUGUCCAGGGCCUGGUCCCAGAGGCAGCUUCAGUAAAGGUCCCAGCAAUGCUGUAACCCUUUCCAUAUUGCCUAAUUCAUUGCCUGCCAAGACAUGUUUGAAAUAGCCCUGUCUGCAGCCCUGAGGACAAGAGCUGUGUUAUUAACAGAGUGCUUUUAAAGAAAAAUGGCUACUUUUAUUUCCUCUCUCAUUUAUUUAUUUGUUUGUUUGUUUGUUUCACUCCUGCCCCAAAUGAUCAAGAUAGAGAAGCUAAAUAUUGCUCAGUGGCUUAUGUUGUAUGAUAAAUAUUGUCUGUUUCAAGGUGCUAUCUGAAAGCUCAUUCUCACUCAUUUGCAGACAGAACGGUUAUUUCAGGACGGGCAUAAUAUGGAAAUGUUUCUCCUACCCAUUUCUGGAGUCUUUUUUGGUAUCCUGAGCAGCGCCAGAUAUUGGAAUGGCUAUACUGUGUCUGAGUGAAAAGACAGGGUACCUCAGCAGUGGCAUCUACAGCAGGGACAACCACAUGGGUUGCUCUAAAUCAGGACCAGGAAGAUUGUACUGCACGAGAGACUGCCAAAGCUGACAUGGGCCAUGAUGUCAGACUGCUGGAGAAACACCUGGAGGAAUGAGGGGCAGUGAGGGGCACUCAUAGAAGCAAUAAAAGGGCAGAGAAAGCAUCA